UAUUUAGUAAACCAUUUUACGAUUUGCUCUUCAGUCGUCACUCUGUAGAUAAUUUUGCUUAUUCUGUUUAUUUUUUUAGGACGUUAAUGUCUGCAAUCACAAAAUGUCCCGAUACUUUUAUAUUAUUUUGCUAAUAUCUACAUUAAUUACUUUAAUUCAAUGCAGCAAACAAUUUCGACUUGGUCGAAGUAAAGGUGGUAACUUAGGAGCACCGGCUGGAGACGAAGAUCAGAAAAUUCAUAAUUUACCUCCUAAACAAUGGUUUAAACAAAAAUUAGAUCAUUUUUCUGCGACAGAUUUGAGAACAUGGAAUCAACGAUAUUUCGUCAAUGAAAGCUUUUACGAUUUUAAUAACCCUGGACCAGUUUUCCUCAUGAUUGGUGGUGAAGGGCCAGCUGAUGCAAGAUGGAUGGUAAAAGGCCAAUGGAUAGAAUAUGCCAAAAUUUUCAAAGCUAUGUGUAUUCAGUUAGAACAUCGCUAUUAUGGAGAAAGUCACCCUACUCAUGACAUCAGCACAAAAAAUUUGCAGUACCUCUCUUCACAGCAGGCACUUGCAGAUUUAGCAUACUUUAUAAAUAAAAUGAAUGAUAAAUAUAAGUUCAAUAAACAAGUGAAAUGGGUUGCAUUCGGUGGAUCUUAUCCUGGCUCCUUGGCCGCAUGGCUGCGACUCAAAUACCCACAUUUAGUACAUGCGUCUAUAUCUUCAAGUGGGCCAUUGCUGGCAAAAGUAAAUUUCAUGGAAUACUAUCAGGUUGUUGUGAAUGCAUUACAAGAAAAGACUGGUGGUGAUGAAUGUGUAACACAGUUAAAGCUGGCGCAUCAACAGAUUGAAUCAAUGAUAAAAACUGAUCCUCAAACUAUUGAAAAGGAAUUUAGGGUCUGCAAACCUUUCUCUAAAGCUUCAAAGAAUGACAUCAAGAACUUUUAUAACUCCAUCGCAGAUGAUUUUGCUGAUCUCGUUCAAUACAAUGAAGAUAAUCGCAUGAGUGCUGAUAUUCGUUAUAAAAAUUUGACUAUAAAUACGGUGUGUCAAAUGAUAACAGAGCCUAGUGGUAAACCAGCGUAUCGUAAGCUGGCGGCUUUUAAUUCAAUAAUACUAGAAAAGUCAAACCAAACCUGCUUGGACUACAGCUACGACAAUAUGAUUGAAGAACUACGAAAUGUCACUUGGGGAUCAGAAGGAGCUCGACAGUGGAUGUACCAGACCUGCACGGAAUUUGGUUUUUACCAAACAUCAUCAGGAGAAGUGGAAGUUUUCGGUGAUCAUUUCCCUCUAAGUUUCUACAUUCAACAAUGUCAGGAUGUAUUUGGACCCAAAUUCGACGUCGCAUUCGUAAACGAGGUCGCGGACUCCACGAACAACUGCUACGGUGGUCUUAACAUAGGCAUGAAGCGAAUCGCAUACGUCCACGGCUCGGUGGAUCCGUGGCACGCCCUAGGAAUGACGAGUACAAUAGAAGAAGAUGCUCCUGCCAUUUUCAUCAAAGGCACGGCGCACUGCGCGAACAUGUAUCCUCCGAGCGUCACUGACUCAGCUGAACUGGUAGAGGCGCGGCUGGAAAUCCGUCAGUACCUCGAAUUUUGGCUGAACCUCCCCUGACCCACGAGCCUCUGAAGAAGAGGGACACCCCGCGUCGUGGGGUCCAUGACGACGAUAACGGCUUCACUUGACUAGGGCAACAUAUUCGAUGACAUCUUGUAACACAUUUCAUGUGUCUAUUCCGGUGUUUAUUUAAUAUUUGACGUUAUUAUGUAAUUUUGAUAGCUAUGGUACACGUAAGUGCGCAUUUAUGAAUAACGCUUAUAAAACGUUUUGCCAUGUGUUUCUUAGACAAUUCGGGCGCGGUAUCUUCUGUUUGGGCUCGCUGUAUAGUUCUUGAUCACGAAGAGUUUUGCCUUAUUGGGAAAAAAUUGAAUGCUGUAACAUCUCUAUGCGGACAUCAUAGACGCAGUCGAGAUUUCGAAUUUAAAGAAUCCUCAAUUUCAAAAAUUGGGGGUUAUUACCAUCGACUGGUGGUAAAUAGAGGUAAGUAAGGAUGUACAAGGCACGGGUCAUGCGAACGGUAACAGAUUGAUUAUUUUUUAAAUGAAAAGUAGACAUAGUCGGGAGACAGAAGAUAAUAUAUCACUAAACCGCGCCAAGACUUAACGUCUGCACGUUUCAUAUUUUUGUUGUUCUCUUCUCACAAAGUGAUGAGUAAUAGUUGUGAUACUAGACUAAAUUAUCUAAAUAUUAAUUAAUUUUCUUGUCAAAUAAUUUUGGAACUGUCUUUUACCUAAUUUAAAUUUUAAUUGAUUGUAUUUUAAAAUAAUUCAUGCCAUGGCGAAGGCGAAACGAUUACAACAUAUUUCAAUGGAACAUUUAAACUGCAACCACACUAAACAUAUGAAACUUCGAUGGUCAUAGAUGCGCAUUUACGGUAAUAGCAGAAAUAUUAUAUAUUUAUAUUAAGUAAUACCUGUGUGUAUUUCGAAGGCAUUUAUCUUGAUAUUAUGAGACCGGUUAACAGCGGCACGCACACAGUAUGUAUUGUAUUAAUCUAUUAAUAUAGGAUAUAGAUGCUUACGUUUUCACAGUCGAAAGAACCGGUUGAGAGUUACUUCACAUCGCAAACCACAAAAUUAAAUACAAUAAAGAGAAUGACAUACUCCCUCCGAUUCUUUCGAUAAGUGUAAAUGCUCCCCCCCCCCCAUAUUUCAGACGAAAUGUCUAAGGGAAAGAUUUGGGAAACGUGUUUUAAGAGAACGGAAUAUAUACUCUGGGAUGAGAUUAGAUAAUGUGAUGGCACAUUGGAUGGUUAAGAUGGUGCAAGUUAGCUGUAGUUGAAAAUGACUGUCGGAUCGACUAUAUUGUUUUUAUAUGAUUGCGUUAAGUCGUUUUAUUAAGAGUCUGAAUGUUCGUAAAACUGUUUUAUUGACACCUUUGCUUUGAUGUUAUAUUUACCUAUUUAUACAAUUGACAAGAUUAUGAGAUUUAUUUUGACCAAACGAAUUAGACUAAAUUACAUGGUUCUUGGAAUUUACAAUUGUUUGAACAAACAAAUGUUUGUCUUAUUUACAAUUUAUUAUAUUUGACGUCAAGGAGAACUCGCUUAGCAACAAUUACGACAGACAUUUAAUGCAAAGAAGUAGCUCAUUCGCGAAACCCGGGACCGUUAAUGUUGGUAUUAAUCGGUAUGAGAGAUCUUAGUAUGUAUUUUCAAAGUACGAGCGCGGGGUAUCGCGUUAUUAACUACUUCUCGUAGUCGUGCAUUACAUGAUUGGACGGACCAUCAGAAUUAUAAAUUACUGGCUAAUCGUCCCGGCUUCGUACGGAUAGAUUGGAAGAAAAAUGUAUUUUGGAUAGGAUUUGCGUAAAAUCCGUUCGUAGUGAUCGUCUACGUCGGAGAAGAAGUAACUGAGAAAAAUUUCAAGUCAAUCGGGCGGAUUGGUUAGGAGAUUUCGUGAUAAGUGGUAUUUCGCUUAUAUAGUAUAGAUAAAGAGGUGAUAGAUUCGAUUUGUUAUUUAUUUAGUAUCUGUGUCGUCGUUUGUACACAGACUCAUACCCAGGACUUGACUUUAUGGCACUUUUUGUUUUCACCAUCAUUAUCGGAAAUAACACUAAAUGUACCACCUAUAGCCGGACGAGAACUUCUGAUAUUCUCGAUGUCACGAGGUCGAAUCUACUCAAGUAACAACUCUUACACCGUGUAAUCGAGGACAUUUAAAUCUCUCAGUACUAAUCGGAUAGCCGUAGUAUUACACUUUAAUGGUAUUCUCGAUGUUUGAUGCUUUUUACUCAAUGUGUAGAUCAAAUCUAUAUAUAACAUCUCGCAGCUGAUCCGUUGACAGUUUCGUAGGUUCUCCGGAGUACUUAGAGUUCAUUACGUUGCGCGGUUUAGGGUAUGUGCCUUAGUAUAAUUUAGUGUAGAUUAGGAAAAUAUUAUCAGUGAGUAGCGAUUUACCACCUAGAGGGCCCCGGAGACUUACCUGUCAGUUAUAAUUCGGCUCUAUAUUUAGCCUCUAGGCUUAACUGCUCCUUUGAGUAAUGGGGCUCAUGAUGGUCAAUUUCAAUAUUAACAUAAUAAAUUCACUUUGGGGUUAUCUUAGCGACAAUUUGUUCAAUUAUUAGUUCAAUUAGUGGGGGCAAACGAGCAGGAGGCUCACCUUAUUGAAUGUGACUACCACCGCCCAUUGCCACCUGCAACAUCUGAGGGCUUGCAGUUGCGUUGCUGACCUUUUAGGAAUGAGUAUCAUCCUGUCAUGUCAUAUCGGUUCGGAAAAGUCGCCGCCGAAAGCUGGUCCCACAGUGUGGUUGUGCGAAGUAGGAUAUCCCUUAAAUUGUGCUGUUGUGGAUUUCAUGGCAGCCGUAACAGUAAUGAUGAGUUUUUUUCCGUUAUUGUAUUGUGCGAUGCGUUACUUGAGAUCAUUUUAUUUUAACGGUGAGAUGUCACCAUGGUUUUUGCUGGUGUUUUCGAACGAUGAACUUUUUAUAAGUAGGUACCCAUUUUGAGCAACGAUUUUUGGAGUGAAAUUACGUAUAUUUGCUAAUGAGCAGUGCAAACGAUGGAGUCUUGACAUUAGAAUUCAUUUACUUUAAAAUAAAUUUUGAUUACAUUCAGAGGAGUUUGAUAAAUAUUUUUGUAGUUCUAUCCGACAGAAUAUUUUUCAACUUUGAUAAUUGAUCCUUUCUUAAAACUUGCCCUCGACUUAAUUUAAUAGUUUUAUUUUUUUGUAUUUAAUUAAAUUAAAAAAGAAAUGUAAUUCAUUGGCUACAUUGUUACGAAUUAUGUUAUUUGAUUGAAAUGUAUAUGAUGUGUUAUUUACUUAAGUUAAGUCACACAAAUACUGUAAGAAUAUCAAUAACGCGUUCCGCUAUCACUGAUGUUAAGCACUUAUGUCUAUACCGACAGUAAUAUAGGAACGUUAUAUUCUUAUUCGCAUACAUAAUAAGGAUUGGGAAAUGUGAGCAAAGUAUCAGAACGAUUAGGAAUUCUAUAGAUAUCUUUUUUGAAAUAUUAUAAUAGAUAUGAAUAUUUAAUCUCAUAAUGUAAUGAUCGAGCAGCCCACACUAGUGUUGUGUCAGCGAAAGGAGAUGGUGUCGCUGGAUGUUAGAAGAAAGAUUUUUAGGGCUUAAGCCCUUUGUCGUGCGCGUCAGUUGCAUUAUGUUAUCUCUUGAUCAAUCAGGUCCCGACGGACUUGCAAGCGUUAAUGUGUUGCGACAGACCGUAUAGCAGGUGGCAUGUAGACCUAUACAAGAUUUCAUCGUUGUGAGCUCAUGCAGUUCAUAUUAAAUAUCGACCUGAACCGUAUACAUCUACAUGUCACCUAAGUACCCAUUCGAGCCGAUGCGAGCUCUUUCUGAUUGUAUACCGUAAGUUUUUAAUACGUUGGAUCUUUCGAACGAUGAGGGGAAAUACGAAGGCAAAAUUAUAUACAUCCAUAACAGAAUAUCGGAAAUAAUAUCUGGAAAAAAAUGUUGUCAACGAAAGUGUCAUUUUACACAAUUGGUCUCUCUGGUUUAUCGGUCGGAUAUAUUCCCCCGACACAACACAGCGUGGAGAUUAUGUAACUUAUAGGCAUUCGAAUAUAUAUGUAGGUAUCUCGACAUAACUAUCGAUGUUCGAUGCUGUGAACUUUGUCCUUCUAUCUAGAAACUACAGCUCUCUAGCACCCUACGCUGAACUUCACCGCGUAACUGACAUUCUAUACUUGUAUUCUUAAAUCAAUACUAGAAAAUCGAAAUUGUUUUUGUAUUCAAAUCGUUUAACUUGUAUUGCACAUUCCAUUUUCUUUUAUGUUUCCGUAUUAUAGCAGUUAGUAUAAGGAUUUUUCUCGAAAUAAUAAUGUCUGAAUGUCUGUAAUCGACUUAGUAAAUAAUUACGUAAGCUUUACUCACAAGACAACUGACAACAUCUAAAGCAACUAACAAACCGAAAUUUAAACGGUUUUUUUGUAAUUUCACGUGAAUUUUGAAAUGUGAGUAAAUGCAUUUUAACUUUAUAGUUUAUGGAAUAAAGUCGUAGAGGGUCUAA